rnacentral:rRNA from 1 species
GACGAACGCUGGCGGCGUGCUUAACACAUGCAAGUCGAGCGGUAAGGCCCUUUCGGGGGUACACGAGCAGCGAACGGGUGAGUAACACGUGGGUGACCUGCCCUCAGCUCUGGGAUAAGCCUGGGAAACCGGGUCUAAUACUGGAUAUGGCUCCAUGACGCAUGUUGUGGGGUGGAAAGCCUUGUGCGGCUGAGGAUGGGCCCGCGGCCUAUCAGCUUGUUGGUGGGGUGAUGGCCUACCAAGGCGACGACGGGUAGCCGGCCUGAGAGGGCGACCGGCCACACUGGGACUGAGACACGGCCCAGACUCCUACGGGAGGCAGCAGUGGGGAAUCUUGCGCAAUGGGCGAAAGCCUGACGCAGCGACGCCGCGUGAGGGAUGACGGCCUCGGUUGUAAC